rnacentral:tRNA from 1 species
GCCACCGUAGCUCAGUGGUAGAGCGCACCCUUGGUAAGGGUGAGGUCGCGGGUUCAAUCCCCGCUGGUGGCU